rnacentral:hammerhead_ribozyme from 1 species
GCACUGCUGAGGAGUCCUUUAAUAGGACGAAACGGCCGUCCAGUGC